AAAAGAUCUCCAUGAGCUAGACAAUAUUGGUGUGAGAAAGCGGUGCCCAACAGAUCUAUGAGGGAUAUGGGAAUCGUCUCUUUUGUAUCCUCGUGCUCCCCCAUAGUUCCUUCCCUUUGUAAAAACUGCUCCAUGCUCAUGUUCUUUGUUAUAGUACGCUUCCGUGAAAAAUAACUAACAAUAGUAUGUGUAGUACAAUUUGUACAUACAAUGGAUUUUAUGCUAGGGUCCCAAGGUAACACAAGAGCUAUAUUGAUUCCUUUAGUCUGCACCCUCAUGUAUUGAUGACCGAUGAUCGUUUGAACUGAAGAACUCACUCUCAUAUUGCUGCUCAGAUAUCUUGUAC
rnacentral:lncRNA from 1 species